rnacentral:rRNA from 1 species
GCAUGCAGUCGAGGGAAUCCCAGCAAUGGGGGAACCGGCGUAAGGGGCAGUAAUGCGUGGGUACCUACCCUGGGGCCCGGGAUAGCCGUCCGAGAGGGCGGGUAAUACCGGAUGAUCUCGGGAGAGCAAAGGUCCGCCGCCCUGGGAGGGGCCCACGUGGUAUUACCUAGUUGGCGGGGUAACGGCCCACCAAGGGGGAGAUGCCUAGCGGGUGUGAGAGCACGACCCGCGCCACUGGCACUGAGACACUGGCCAGACACCUACGGGUGGCUGCAGUCGAGGAUCUUCGGCAAUGGGCGCAAGCCCGACCGAGCGAUGCCGCGUGUGCGACGAAGGCCUUCGGGUUGUAAAGCACUGUCGAGGGGGAGAAAACCGCAAGGUUGAUCUAUCCCUGGAGGAAGCACGGGCUAAGUUCGUGCCAGCAGCCGCGGUAAUACGAACCGUGCGAACGUUGUUCGGAAUCACUGGGCCUAAAGGGCGCGUAGGCGGGCUGCCAAGUUUGGGGUGAAAUCCUCCGGCUCAACCGGGGAAGUGCCUCGAAUACUGGCGGCCUCGAGGGGGGUAGGGGCGUGCGGAACUGUGGGUGGAGCGGUGAAAUGCGUUGAUAUCCACAGGAACUCCGGUGACGAAGGCGGCACGCUGGACCCUUUCUGACGCUGAGGCGCGAAAGCCAGGGGAGCGAACGGGAUUAGAUACCCCGGUAGUCCUGGCCCUAAACGAUGGGGACUAGGUAGUAGCCCAGACAUGGGGUUACUGCCGGAGCAAAAGUGCUAAGUCCCCCGCCUGGGGAGUAUGGUCGCAAGGCUGAAACUCAAAGGAAUUGACGGGGGCUCACACAAGCGGUGGAGCAUGUGGCUUAAUUCGAGGCUACGCGAAGAACCUUAUCCCGGACUUGACAUAUGCGAAAG